CCUACGGGAGGCAGCAGUGAGGAAUAUUGGUCAAUGGGCGUAAGCCUGAACCAGCCAAGUCGCGUGAGGGACGAAGGUUCUAUGGAUCGUAAACCUCUUUUAUAAGGGAAUAAAGUGUGGGACGUGUCCUGUUUUGUAUGUACCUUAUGAAUAAGGAUCGGCUAACUCCGUGCCAGCAGCCGCGGUAAUACGGAGGAUCCGAGCGUUAUCCGGAUUUAUUGGGUUUAACGGGUGCGUAGGCGGCCUUUUAAGUCAGCGGUGAAAGUCUGUGGCUCAACCAUAGAAUUGCCGUUGAAACUGGGAGGCUUGAGUAUGUUUGAGGCAGGCGGAAGGCGUGGUGUAGCGGUGAAAUGCUUAGAUAUCACGCAGAACCCCGAUUGCGAAGGCAGCCUGCCAAGCCAUGACUGACGCUGAUGCACGAAAGCGUGGGGAUCAAACAGGAUUAGAUACCCCAGUAGUC
rnacentral:rRNA from 1 species